rnacentral:rRNA from 1 species
UUUAUUUAAAAUUUACUGUAAUUGAGUUGAAUAAUAAAUUUAUAAUUAUGAAAAUCAUUUUAAGUGUUUUUGUAUUUGUUAAUGAUAAAAUUGUUUUAGUGAUAAUUUAUUUGUACUGUAAAGGGAUAGCAUGGAUGAAAUAAUUAUUUAUUAUUAUUGUUUAAGUUUAUUUAAUUUGUUGUACCUUGUGUAUCAGGGUUAAUUAACUAUUUAUUAUGAAUUUUAAUUUUCUCGAUAUUAUUAGAGUUAAUUUAUUAUUUUAUUUACUGUUUUAUAAGUAUUAAUAAUAAUAGAUUGGUAGUGAAAUAUUAUUCGUUAAUAAUGAUAUCUAGUUUUAAGGGAAAUAAAUUUAAUUUACAUCUUUUCUUUAAUUUAUUUUGUUAUUAAGAAAUUUUAAGUUAAUAUGGAUAUUAAGGGGGAUAAGCUCUUUAAUAAAUAUACUAUAAGAUGAUAUUAGGAAUAUAAUUAUGUGGAUUUAGUAAUGAUUAACAUUAUAAAUAUAUUAAAAUUUUAUUAUUGUUUUUGAUUAAUUUAUUUAUAUGAAUUUAGGGUUUUACUAGAACUUUUUAAUUAAUUUUGUAUUAAUUUUGGUUAUGAUUAAAUUAGUAUAAUUAUGUAUAUUUAAAAAUUAUUUUUUUUUGUAGUGGAUUUUAGGAAUUAGGCAAAAAAAAAAUUAUUCGCCUGUUUAACAAAAACAUCUUUUCUUGAUUAAGUAUGAAGUAUAACCUGCUCAAUGAAAAUUUAAAUAGCCGCGGUAUUAUGACUGUGCAAAGGUAGCAAAAUCAUUAGUCUUUUAAUUGUAGGCUGGAAUGAAUGGUUGGACGAAAUAAUUUCUGUCUUGAAUUUUAUUAAUUUGAAUUUAAUAGUUGUGUUAAAAAGCUCAAAUUAUUUUUUGGGACGAGAAGACCCUAUAGAGUUUAAUAAUUUUUUGAUUUAAUUUUUAUUGAUGAAUUAUGUAAAUUAUUUAAUUUAUUUUGUUGGGGUGAUGGGAAGAUAAGUAUAACUCUUUUUGUUUUUGUUUAUAAAUUAUUAUAUUUGUGAUCCAUUUAUUAAUGAUUAAAAGACUAAAUUACCUUAGGGAUAACAGCGUAAUCUUUUUAGAGAGUUCUUAUUGACAAUAAGGGUUGCGACCUCGAUGUUGGAUUAAGAUUAUUUUUAGGUGCAAAAGCUUAAAGGUUGGGUCUGUUCGACCCUUGAAUUCUUACAUGAUCUGAGUUCAGACCGGCGUGAGCCAGGUUGGUUUCUAUCUAAUAAUAAGUUUAAUGUUUUAGUACGAAAGGACCAGACAUAUAAAAAUAAUUUUUAUUAGUUGAUUAAUAUUAG